AGAGUUUGAUCAUGGCUCAGAGCGAACGCUGGCGGCAUGCUUAACACAUGCAAGUCGCACGGGGGGGCAACCUUCAGUGGCGGACGGGUGAGUAACGCGUAGGUAUCUGUCCAUGGGUGGGGGAUAACAGCGGGAAACUGCUGCUAAUACCGCAUGACACCUGAGGGUCAAAGGCGCGAGUCGCCUGUGGAGGAGCCUGCGUCCGAUUAGCUUGUUGGUGGGGUAAUGGCCUACCAAGGCGAUGAUCGGUAGCUGGUCUGAGAGGAUGAUCAGCCACACUGGGACGGAGACACGGCCCAGACUCCUACGGGAGGCAGCAGUGGGGAAUAUUGGAUAAUGGGCGCAAGCCUGAUCCAGCAAUGCCGCGUGGAUGAAGAAGGUCUUCGGAUUGUAAAGUCCUUUCGGCGGGGACGAUGAUGACGGUACCCGCAGAAGAAGCCCCGGCUAACUUCGUGCCAGCAGCCGCGGUAAUAC
rnacentral:rRNA from 1 species